rnacentral:rRNA from 1 species
UACGGGGGGGGCUAGCGUUGCUCGGAAUCACUGGGCGUAAAGCGCACGUAGGCGGAUUGUUAAGUCAGGGGUGAAAUCCCGGAGCUCAACCCUGGAACUGCCUUUGAUACUGUCGAUCUGGAGUAUGGAAGAGGUGAGUGGAAUUCCGAGUGUAGAGGUGAAAUUCGUAGAUAUUCGGAGGAACACCAGUGGCGAAGGCGGCUCACUGGUCCAUUACUGACGCUGAGGUGCGAAAGCGUGGGGAGCAAACAGG